AGUUGAUUAGUUUCUCUUAAUAUUCUGCUCCAAUUUCAGCAAUUCGCGACAUGGAUGUCGCGAAAGGCGCAUUAAGACAGGAUGUCUUUUAUGCGCCGUGUGCGUCCGACGAAAAGAAUCUUACGCAGAAUAUUUAGAGAAUCUUAUCAACGAA
rnacentral:ncRNA from 1 species